rnacentral:rRNA from 1 species
AAGGGGGCAACCCUGAGUACAGUGGCGCACGGGUGAGUAACACGUGGAUUAUCUACCUUUUAGUGGGGAAUACCCCUGGGAAACCGGGGACAAUACCGCAUAAGCCUGUAAAGGGAAAGCCGAAAGGCGCUGAAAGAGGAGUCCGCGGCCGAUUAGCUAGAUGGCGGGGUAAUGGCCCACCAUGGCGAAGAUCGGUAGCCGGCCUGAGAGGGCACACGGCCACACUGGCACUGAAAUACGGGCCAGACUCCUACGGGAGGCAGCAGUGGGGAAUCUUGCACAAUGGAGGAAACUCUGAUGCAGCGACGCCGCGUGAGUGAUGAAGCCCUUCGGGGUGUAAAGCUCUUUCGACGGGAACGAUUAUGACGGUACCCGGAGAAGAAGCUGCGGCUAACUACGUGCCAGCAGCCGCGGUAAUACGUAGGCAGCAAGCGUUGUUCGGAAUUACUGGGCGUAAAGAGUGUGUAGGCUGUGUUCCAAGUCUGUUGUGAAAUCUCCCGGCUCAACCGGGAGGGUGCGGCGGAAACUGGAAUGCUAGAGGGUGGGAGAGGUAAGCGGAAUUCCUGGUGUAGCGGUGAAAUGCGUAGAUAUCAGGAGGAACACCUGUGGUGUAGACAGCUUACUGGACCACUUCUGACGCUGAGACACGAAAGCGUGGGUAGCAAACAGGAUUAGAUACCCUGGUAGUCCAUGCCCUAAACGAUGCAUACUUGGUGUG